UACGGAGGAUGCAAGCGUUAUCCGGAUUUAUUGGGUUUAAAGGGUGCGUAGGCGGAAUUGUAAGUCAGUGGUGAAAUCUUGCAGCUUAACUGUAAAAUUGCCAUUGAUACUGCAGUUCUUGAAUGUAGUUGAAGUAGGCGGAAUGAGUAAUGUAGCGGUGAAAUGCUUAGAUAUUACUCAGAACACCGAUUGCGAAGGCAGCUUACUAAGCUAUUAUUGACGCUGAGGCACGAAAGCGUGGGGAGCGAACAGG
rnacentral:rRNA from 1 species